CCAUUGAUACUGGUAUUCUUGAAUGUAGUUGAGGUGGNCGGAAUGUGUAAUGUAGCGGUGAAAUGCUUAGAUAUUACACAGAACACCAAUUGCGAAGGCAGCUCACUAAACUAUGAUUGACGCUGAGGCACGAAAGCGUGGGUAGCAAACAGGAUUAGAUACCCUGGUAGUCCACGCCGUAAACUAUGAUCACUCGCUGUUGGCAAUACAUCGUCAGCGGCUGAGCGAAAGCAUUAAGUGAUCCACCUGGGGAGUACGGUCGCAAGAUUGAAACUCAAAGGAAUUGACGGGGGCCCGCACAAGCGGAGGAACAUGUGGUUUAAUUCGAUGAUACGCGAGGAACCUUACCUGGGCUUAAAUGCAGAGCGACGUUCCGGGAAACCGGAAUUCCUUCGGGCGAUCUGCAAGGUGCUGCAUGGCUGUCGUCAGCUCGUGCCGUGAGGUGUCGGGUUAAGUCCCAUAACGAGCGCAACCCUUAUCGUUAGUUGCCAGCGGGUAAUGCCGGGGACUCUAACGAAACUGCCGGUGUAAACCGUGAGGAAGGUGGGGAUGACGUCAAGUCAGCACGGCCCUUAUGUCCAGGGCUACACACGUGUUACAAUGGUCGGUACAGAGGGCAGCUACCUGGCAACAGGAUGCUAAUCUCGAAAACCGGUCUCAGUUCGGAUUGGAGUCUGCAACUCGACUUCAUGAAGCUGGAUUCGCUAGUAAUCGCGCAUCAGCCAUGGCGCGGUGAUACGUUCCCGGGCAUUGUACACACCGCCCGUCAAGCCAUGGAAGCUUGGAGUACCUGAAGUCCGUAACCGCAAGGAGCGGCCUAGGGUAAGACAAGUGACUGGGGCUAA
rnacentral:rRNA from 1 species